rnacentral:lncRNA from 1 species
UCCGUCUUAAGUGUAGGAAGAGCAGCCCCUUAAAUAGGCAAAUACAGUCACUUGUUGGGACAGAUUUUGGUUCACCAAAAAUCUGUCCAAAAGACUGACUUUGUAUGCUAAACACUGUUCAAAAUCUGUCCAAAAGAUGAAAGGGCAGUCUGAAAAUCUGCUAUGUCAGAAGCAAGGAGAAAAAAUAUCAUUUCAGCCACCCUACUAGUAGAAAGUAAGCUACUAGUACCUUAUUUUAUGAUAAAACCCAUCUAAACUUCAGAUUUUAACAACAUCAAUACCACUAUAUUGAUUUUGAACCAAAUCAAACUCAAACAACUAAAAACAAUUGACAAAACAGAAACAAGACUUCAAAUGGAACUAAAACUCAAACUAACUAGAUUAAAACAAUUGAUUUGUGCAAACUAACCAUAGAACAAACAACUGAAUUCACAAACUAAUGCUCAAAACAGAAAUUAGACGAGCAUCGCUAACAAUCGGACGACUACAUUCAACAACUAAAUAAUCGAUUAACUAAGUAAAUGAUUGAACUAAUACAUUAAAGAUCACAUUUAAUCAAUAACAAUCCAACUAACAACUAAACUAAAUAGAGAUAACUAAUUAAAUAAACCUAACUUGAAACUCUAAUUAACAAGAAAUAACCAAAACAGAAAAAUCAAAAAUUAGAAAACAAAAUUAAAAUCAGGAACUAAACUAUUACUACUAAAAAAAUUAGAAAUUAAGUAAAAAGUUGACGGUUAUACCUAACGAGCGUGCUUGAAGCUGUUCGGGCCACGAGAAGAUGCCAGAGAUGCUAAAAUGCGACUGCUGACUCCGAAAUGCAUAUUCCUUUCAGGUAGAUGCUAGAACGAAAUGAGUUUCAGCAUCUCGCCAAAAGAAACGAGUGUCUUUGAGUCAAAAAAUAGCUAAGAUGGGGGUUCGGGGCAUUUUGGUGGUGGUGAGGCAGUGGAGGCGCGACGACGGUGAGGGUAGCUGGCCGGCGGCGACGGGAAUUUUGGGGGUGAAAUGGGUAGGAAAAGAUAGGUCGCGCGGAGCUCUAUCUAUUCAUGUAUGUGUUGUAGGGUGGUGUUAGCCGGAGCUUCAAGAAUUUGGGCCAAAAAGUGACUGCUAAAGUUUCCUAGAUUUAAAAUUCAAGGAGUUUGAGAGGGUUUUGAAGGAAUUGGUUUGGAGAUAUGGAAAGAGGAGGUUAUGGAGAUUACAUGAUGUGAAUUUGGAGGUGUUUGGAGGUGGUCCGCCGCCGGUAGGUGAUUUCCGGCGGCGGCGAAAAGAGAGAGAAGAGAGAAAGAGUUAUGAGGGAAAUGAGGGAAUUUUUU